rnacentral:lncRNA from 1 species
GGGCAGCUCAUGAUUGUUUCGGAGGGGCCUUGACAGCUGGCUAUGACCUUUAGGUUGGCUGGGUGACUUUGUUUUGGACCUGUUUUUUUUGUUACUAUGCUAGUCCAAGUACGAUUGGAUAGUGUACAGCUUUGUUCUCUUUUCUUUAAUGAUUAGGUUGUAGAUAUAUUCACCAAGGUCGAUCUUGACAUUUUUGAGACU